UACGAAGGGGGCUAGCGUUGUCCGGAUUCAUUGGGCGUAAAGAGCGUGUAGGCGGCCAGGUAGGUCCGUUGUGAAAACUCGAGGCUCAACCUCGAGACGUCGAUGGAAACCAUCUGGCUAGAGUCCGGAAGAGGAGAGUGGAAUUCCUGGUGUAGCGGUGAAAUGCGCAGAUAUCAGGAAGAACACCUAUGGCGAAGGCAGCUCUCUGGGACGGUACUGACGCUGAGACGCGAAAGCGUGGGGAGCGAACAGG
rnacentral:rRNA from 1 species